rnacentral:lncRNA from 1 species
GGGCGGCGGCGGCGGUGGUGCGGGGGAUUCACGCUGUCACCCUUUAUCUGUCUCAAAAGCGUAGACAGGAGCCAGCUGGAGGAGCCGUUACCGCUUAGCUCGUCUGGGGUCAAGCAGGACAGUUAAAAAGGUAUCCUUGAAGGUAUCAAGUUGGGUCCUUGAGCCAUCCACAAGAUGGUGCCUUUAAGCCUUCUUCCCACUGAAGAAUCUGCAAACCUGGCAGCCUUCAGCUCUCUCCAGCAACUUGAAAAGAGUGCUGAAGAAGACCUAAAAGCCCUAAAUAUGAAUCUCAGCUGUUGCAAACAGAUGACUCAACAAAAGUAA